rnacentral:lncRNA from 1 species
GAGCUGGCUCACGGAAUGAAGCAGAGAAAGAAAGAGGGAGGGGGUUCUCAGACGGCAACAGAGAGGAAGAAAAAGAAGGAGAGGAAAGGAAAGGAAGAAAGGAAGAGGAAGAAGAAGAAGAAAAAGAAAAGGAAGGAGAUCCCGGUUGCGUUGCCAGCUGAAGGAAAAAACGUAGAUCUCCUUCCCCUCUACGCAAGGACCUCGAUUUCCAAAAAAAAAAAGGUAAAUAUCCAUCUCUAUCUAGUCUUUUGAUGAUAUUAGGCUAUACAAAGGGUGGAUGUAGUCUAGAGGGGUCAGAUAAGGGUUGUAGAGGUGGUUAAAAGAGGAAGAAUCGGAUUUCGACAAAUUUUUCCGGCAUUACGGAAAAAUUGUGUCGAAGUCUCAAUUUCGGUGAAUUAUUUCGGAGGUCAAUCGGCCUCCGAUGGUGAUGCAUGUUACCUUUUUGGAAUCCCCUAUAAGUGUAGAAUGUUAGGUAAAAAUUUCAUCAAAUUUGGAGUCUAAAAAGUGGAUCAAACCCGGGAUGAAGUAACCGGCUGUCGGUCCGGAUUACUGUUCAUCCGGGUGGAAAAUAAGGGAUUUCAUGCUAUAAUAGAGUAUUAAGCCUAGAUCAAGCUAAAAUGGACCUUGUACU